rnacentral:sRNA from 1 species
AUGCACCCCGUGCACGCCGGUUCCGCCAUGCCGUCCACCCCGCCUGACGGGUGCUAGCGACGUUUCGCAGCC